ensembl:misc_RNA Y_RNA Y RNA
GGCUGGGCUGAGUGCAGCAAUGUUUACAACUAAUUGAUCACAACCAGUUACAGAUUUCUUUGUUCCUUUCCACUUCCACUCCUUCACUUGACCAGCCUUAA